GCCAAGCAUAGUGGCAUAUGCCUGUAAUCCCAGUGACUCAGGAGGCUGAGGCAGGAGAAUUGCAAAUUAGAGGCCCAAUCUCAGUAACUUAGUGAGGCCCUAAGCAACGUAGCAAGACCCUGCCUCAA
rnacentral:sRNA from 1 species